rnacentral:tmRNA from 1 species
GGGGAUGUUCUGGUUUUGACAGCACUGAUUUCGGAUGGUAAGCACGUCGGGCGUAGGAGGCUGGCCCGUUAAUCCCAGUCUUCGAGCCAUAACUGGCAACUACAACUAUUCAUACGCUUGCUAAUCUCCAAGAGAUUGAGCAUUAAUCGAUUCCGCCAAGGUUGCGGAACGACGUAUAUCCCUCCAGCUUUAGGCCGGUUCAGUCUGGAUCCAGGGGUAUCAUCAAAACCGGAUGCGCGGCCCGGACGCCUCUAGGGACCGUUAAGUU